UGGGGAAUUUUGGACAAUGGGCGCAAGCCUGAUCCAGCAAUGCCGCGUGCAGGAUGAAGGCCUUCGGGUUGUAAACUGCUUUUGUACGGAACGAAAAGCCCUGGGUUAAUACCCUGGGGUCAUGACGGUACCGUAAGAAUAAGCACCGGCUAACUACGUGCCAGCAGCCGCGGUAAUACGUAGGGUGCGAGCGUUAAUCGGAAUUACUGGGCGUAAAGCGUGCGCAGGCGGUUUUGUAAGACAGAGGUGAAAUCCCCCGGGCUCAACCUGGGAACUGCCUUUGUGACUGCAAGGCUAGAGUACGGCAGAGGGGAUGGAAUUCCGCGUGUAGCAGUGAAAUGCGUAGAUAUGCGGAGGAACACCGAUGGCGAAGGCAAUCCCCGUGGGCCUGUACUGACGCUCAUGCACGAAAGCGUGGGGAGCAAACAGGAUUAGAUACCCUGGUAGUCCACGCCCUAAA
rnacentral:rRNA from 1 species